UUAAUUGAAGCCAAAAUAGAGGCAUAUUAUUGUUAAUAAUUAAAUUGAAUUAAGUAUUCCAAUUAAA
rnacentral:tRNA from 1 species